rnacentral:ribozyme from 1 species
UGCCCAGCAACUCCUAUUCCUACCUCCUCGUGGUACUGGCCGGGGUACGAGUAACCUUAGGGAAGA